AGCGAACGCUGGCGGCAGGCCUAACACAUGCAAGUCGAACGGACCCUUCGGGGUUAGUGGCGGACGGGUGAGUAACACGUGGGAACGUGCCUUUAGGUUCGGAAUAGCUCCUGGAAACGGGUGGUAAUGCCGAAUGUGCCCUUCGGGGGAAAGAUUUAUCGCCUUUAGAGCGGCCCGCGUCUGAUUAGCUAGUUGGUGAGGUAAUGGCUCACCAAGGCGACGAUCAGUAGCUGGUCUGAGAGGAUGACCAGCCACAUUGGGACUGAGACACGGCCCAAACUCCUACGGGAGGCAGCAGUGGGGAAUCUUGCGCAAUGGGCGAAAGCUUGACGCAGCCAUGCCGCGUGGAUGAUGAAGGUCUUAGGAUUGUAAAAUCCUUUCACCGGUGAGGAUAAUGACUGUAGCCGGAGAAGAAGCCCCGGCUAACUUCGUGCCAGCCGCCGCAGUAACAC
rnacentral:rRNA from 1 species